CUUAUGUCGGCUGUCAAGACCGGUCUGGACAGCAAGUAUUUGUUUACUCUCCAUUUGUUUAUCGUGGGCCUACACUGAGGGUAGUGGUGUUGUGUAGACAGGCUCAGGCACUGAGACUAGUGGUGUUGUGGAGACAGGCUUGGAGACUAUGGUGAGGCCUAAUAGAAAGCAGUUGUUGUUGGGGGAUUCCAUCAUAAGAGGU